rnacentral:lncRNA from 10 species
AGACUCGAGCGGGAGGGGGUUGGGGGGAUGCAGGACAGGCGGGUUGGGCGGCCGGCGGCGGCUCCCCGGCUACCUGUGUGGCCCUCGACCUGGCUCAGACCCCCGGGCAGUCCCUGGGGGCUCUUUCCUCGGCUUUUAAGGAAAGUUCUGAAUGUAGUGAGUGCCAGAAGCUCUGCUCUCGCCGCGGUCCGCUCCACCCGCUCAUCGUGGGGGUCGCGCCGUUUGUUUAAUUCCUGGCAAAAGGCGAGCGGGCCAGCGGUUGCGAGGCAGGUGCAAUGAUUCUGGACUGAGACGCGCUUGGGCAGAGGCUAUGUAAUCGUGUCUGUGUUGAGGACUUCGCUUCGAGGAGGGAAGAGGAGGGAUCGGCUCGCUCCUCCGGCGGCGGCGGCGGCGGCGACUCUGCAGGCGGAGUUUCGCGGCGGCGGCACCAGGGUUACGCCAGCCCCGCGGGGAGGUCUCUCCAUCCAGCUUCUGCAGCGGCGAAAGCCCCAGCGCCCGAGCGCCUGAGCCGGCGGGGAGCAAGUAAAGCUAGACCGAUCUCCGGGGAGCCCCGGAGUA